CCUUACCUGGCCAACGCUCUCCUGGCAACGCCUCCCCAGCUGGGAUUGGGUGACUGGAAGAGGUAGGUGGCUACCUCCACGUGUCCAGCUGGUGGGGAGGGGCAAAUCCAGGCUGUACUACCAGAAACCACAAGGGAUCGGGGGGGGGCUGCGCACGACCGCACAAAAGGCACCCCCCAUUUGAUGUGGGGAGCAGUCAUUCUUAUCAUGGGUAAUUGAGACUGUCCCAUUUGAUCAUACCAUCACACUUCUAUUUCCCCUGCUCCCUCAGUUAAAAAGAACAUUGUCCCCAAGACUGCAACUCCCAGCAUCCCUGGUUCAUACUCUGAAUGGGAGCUGUAGUUUACCAACAUCUGGAGGGCUAAAGGUUCACCUCCCCUAAUCGGCAGGCAAUUAUUUUCGCAUCUUGUUGUGUUUAGUCGUUUAGUCCUGUCCGACUCUUCGUGACCCCAUGGACCAGAGCACGCCAGGCACUCCUGUCUUCCACUGCCUCCCGCAGUUUGGUCAAACUCAUGCUGGUAGCUUCGAGAACACUGUCCAACCAUCUCGCCCUCUGCCGUCCCCUUCUCCUUGUGCCCUCCAUCUUUCCCAACAUCAGGGUCUUUUCCAGGGAGUCUUCCCUUCUCAUGAGGUGGCCAAAGUCUUGGAGCCUCAGCUUUCGCAUCUAGGCAAGGCAAAAUAUGUGAAGGAUAGGAGGCCAACCCCACCCCCCAAAAAAAACCCCACGCCAAGGCAAGCGCUCAUUGGGGAGAAGCACAUGUCUUCCACCUGUUUGAAGAUGACUGGGACUUGAACCCUCAUCCUGUUCUCCAUCAACCUCUGGCAAGAGGCAAUGCAUGCCUUCAUCCAGCUGAGUAAUAGGUUAGGAACACCAGAAGCAUAGCUGUCAACCGUCCCUUAUUUGGCAGGAAAGUCCCUUAUCCCAGCACUGUGUCCUGCUGCUGUCCCUUAUUGAUGAUGUCCCUUAAAUUUCCCAGGUUUCAAAGGAAGCAGCUCCUCUCCCUCCCUCCCUGCCAGCUCCAACUGUGUUGCUUGGCUGCGUUGCUCACCCAAUAAGGAGUUUGAGAACGACUGGGGGGUGGAGCUUGCAUGCCUUGUGCCGAUCAAAUCGGCCGCGUUGCCUGGGAACUCGCCUUUGCUCAGCGCUUCCCAGCGGAGGUGACGGUGGUUUUCCUUGCUGCAUCCCCUUUGCCGGGUUACUGCGCUGUGGGAACCAUCGCUUGAGGCUUCAUUUGGCUGCUGGCUGGGCUUCCUGCCUUUGGCUCGGAGGGGCUCAGAAGUUGAACCUCCCUGUGCUCUGAAAAUCCCUUAUUUUGGCUGCUGAUCCCUUAUUUUCGAGGCUGCUGGUCCCUUAUUUUCAAACCUGUAAGUUGACAGCUAUGACCAGAAGGGAUCUCCACCACCACCCCCUAUGCAAACAUUACGAUUACAAAAAGUGGAGGGGGGUUAUCUCUUUGUCUUAUAAGGAAUCGAAACGCUGCUCGUUUCCACAACUCCAGAAAGCAGGGGGAAAGGGGACCUUGAAACCUUCCCAGUGUGAAAGUUUAAACCUGCCUUUUGGUUCUUGUGUAAACGUUUGAGAUUGACCUUUAAAAAAAAAAAAAGUAUCUUUUAUCAAAUAGUCUUGAUCUUCUGUAUGCUUUUAAAAUCAUUUUGCUUUGCUCUGGGCUAGGAUUGGGUGACAUUUGUUAUGUCUCACAGGCUGGCUUUGCCCACUGGCAAAUUUUCUGGUUAUUACAUAUGAGUUUGGAAGAGAAAGCUGACCUCCAAAAUUACCUGUUGCUAAAUGACUGAUGAAGAAAAAGCAGAACAGGAGACUAAAGAGUGCCUAAUAGAGAAGUUUAUAUUUUCUGGGUAUCUGGAUUAUGUCUUCUGGCAAAUAUAUACAAGUCCUUCACUUAGAAACCUCCAUGGGCAGAAGUGCAAUAGUUGAAUGACAAAUGGUUCUAUUGCUUUGAGCAGUCAAUAUAAAACUCUUUAUAUUCACUACCAAUAAACCAGCUAACUUAUUCCUUCAUAUUUUUUAGUAAAAGCCUUUCCCAUAAGCAGAAGCAGGUUGGCUGAAAGUGCAAUCCUAACCACAUCUACUCAGAAGUAAGGCCUACUACAGCAUAAAGAUUGCAACCUUAAUACAGUGGUACCUCAGGUUACAGACGCUUUAGGUUACAGAUGCUUCAGGUUACAGACUCCAUUAACCCAGAGAUAGUACCUCGGGUUAAGAACUUUGCUUCAGGAUGAGAACAGAAAUUGUGCGGUUGCGGCGGGAGACCCCAUUAGGUGAAGUGGUACCUCAGGUUAAGAACAGUUUCAGAUUAAGAACCGACCUCCGGAAUGAAUUAAGUUCUUAACCCGAGGUACCACUGUAUAGGAGCUUGGCUUUAAGACGAGCCAAUGUUUAUUGUGACAUGAACCCAGGCUAGAAAAUGUGACAGCAGCCAACCCCUUCUGAAGGAACACUUUCCCCAGUUUUAUUAGGUGCCAAUCAGAGGCACCAGGUUCCACACAACAUGGGGGCGGGCUUGUCACAUGCGUGUGAUGUUGCAUGUGGGACAUCACACAAGUUGGGAAGACGCUGUGAGGCCUGGGGAGGCCCUCAGCCACCACAGGUAAGUCUGGCAGGGUCUUCUGCUGCUGCAGGGAGGCCCAGCAGGGCCUAGUCCCUCAAGAUUGGGCCGGGGGCUCAGCCUGACAAUGCAUAUUGGGGGGGGUUGGCACGUACAGUGGUACCUCUGGUUAAGAAAUUAAUUCGUUCUGGAGGUCCGUUCUUAACCUGAAACUGCUCUUAACCUGAAUCACCACUUUAGCUAAUGGGGCCUCCCGCUGCUGCUGGCCCGCCGCCACACGAUUUCUGUUCCCAUCCUGAAGUAAAGUUCUUAACCCGAGGUACUAUUUCUGGGUUAGCGGAGUCUGUAACCUGAAGCGUCUGUAAGCUGAGGUACCACUGUAACUGCAAAACAACAGUGCUUAUUAAGUCUCCCCAAUAUCUUUGCAAGGGAGGAGGGUGGGAAGAAAACUGAAACUUGACCACGUCUCCAUAAUCUCUUAGUAGCUCUAGGGAGCACCAGCCCCCACUAGUAGCAGCUUUUUCUUUGUGGUGCCAUCCCAUACAGCUGUCCUAUGUGCAAGAACACCAGCACCACGUGGGUAGGGUCACUUGUGUAGGUCUUUUCCACCUGGUCAUUACCUCCUUGAUUGGUCCAGCCUACAUAAUUCCAGUACUCACUGAUUCAUGUAGGAAUGCAUUGCAUGGAGAUGCCCCAGCUGCUGUGGUUGGGUGAGAUGGGGGCCUGGUGUCAGGGACUGGGCAGAGGAGGAAGGGGAAGACCUCCUCCCCAGCCUGACCCUUCCAGAGAAGAAGAAGACAGUUCAGAAUUAGAGCAGGGGUUUGAGGGAGAUCACAGCUCAGAGGCAGAUGAGGGGGAAAGAUGGGAAAUAAUGGGAGAGAAGGAAGAAGAAGAGAGGGGACAGCUGAUGGAUUCAUUGUCUUUAGAAAGCAUUUCAGAUUCCCCCCUCUCCCAGAACCCGGUGAGCAUUGAAAGUAGGAGAGCAGAGAUCUCAGAGGCAAAGGACACAUCUCAGCACCCAUAGUGAUGAUGUAUAAUGGAAGGGAGGGAGGAGGUGGAGACUCACUUGGAGCAAUACCUUUAUUCUGAGAGGCCACAUUCCCUAGCCUCUCUCUGUGAAUAUUGAAUAAAAGCAGAUGGUAAGUGGUAGUUUCUGUUUGCCACUGUGCAGCUGCUGAGAGUCACAAGUCUCUGUUUACAUUCCAGAGACAUUCCAGGCUGUUGGAAGUCUCACGGGAGACGGGAGACGGAUGUGACGUACUGGUUUCCUGUUCCUUUGUUUGUUUCAGUUGCUCUCUGCUCUCACAGAGAGAGGAUGUAUUUUCUGUCUGUGUAGUAAGAAAUAAAGCAUAGCGAUGUAGACAUAAAUCUCAUCACUUCUGCGUGCUGCUUUGGUUCUCUGCUGAAUGGGGGAUGUGCCUGGAGCCUUAUCCAGGCACAGGUUGUCAAUCACAGUGUAGGCAAUUCUGGAGGACUCAGCCAGAGGAGGAUGAGCUUUAUCAGCUUGGCCAAGCGCAGGUUCCGACAGUAAGGACUUUCCCUUGUCUUGUCCAUUCCUGGCAACCUGCCGUGGGGGUUGGUUCCUCUGCUGCCUGACACCUGGUUGCCUUGUGACACACAUACCUUUGACAAAAUCUGCUAGUCUACCGACGAAAGAAGAAUGGCGGAUGAAAUUAAUGGACUAUGCAGAAUUAGAUAAAUUAACAGGAAGGAUUUGAAACCUGCAGGACCAGAUUGGAGUAAAUAUAUGAACUAUUUGAAAAGCAGUUGUAAUGAAAAGAUUAUGCUUGUAGGACUGCAAGAUGUUCUGUAAGGAGGACUAUUUGAAACAUUGCAAGAAAGACUAUGAGGAGAAUUAUUAGUUAAUGAUAAUUAAAAGUACAGUGGUACCUGAGGUUACAUACGCUUCAGGUUACAUACGCUUCAGGUUACAGAUUCCGCUAACCCAGAAAUAGUACCUCGGGUUAAGAACUUUGCUUCAGGAUGAGAACAGAAAUCGUGCUCCGCCAGCGCAGUGGCAGCGGGAGGCCCCAUUAGCUAAAGUGGUGCUUCAGGUUAAGAACAGUUUCAGGUGAAGAACAGACCUCUGGAACGAAUUAAGUUCUUAUCCCGAGGUAAUAGAGAAAUUAAGAAAUACAGAAUAGGUGAUAAAGAACGGAAAAUCAUCAGAGGUUGUUGACCGAAGUCUAAAAUAUUGUAUAAGAUAAGUAGUUAUGUUAAAUGAUUGUUGGAAAUGAUAUGUUAAAAAACCAAUAAAAAUGUAUUUUUAAAAAGGGAGAAAAUUUGCUAGUCAUAUCAAAAGAACUCCCCCUGAAGUGCCUUCAGGUGUGCACUGGGCAGAGGAGGAAUGGUAGAGACUGAACAGAACUCUCCAAAUUCACUUUGAAUGUGGACUGCUGGCAACUGUAAUGUCACAUCUUCUUGCCAUUUCCAACUGAUGCUGUCUCUCCAUAUCCUUGAACCUCAUCUCUCAAACUUGAAGAAUCUCUGAAACCUCUUACACCUCACCUACGAUACUAGCCAAGCACUGUGCAGGAGUGGAAUGGGUCUGUGUGUGUUGCAAAAUAAAACAUCAUUUAUCCUGCCUUUGUCUUAAGGUAAAGGUAAAGGGACCCCUGACCAUUAGGUCCAGUCGUGGCCGACUCUGGGGUUGCGGCACUCAUCUUGCUUUAUUGGCCGAGGGAGCGGUGUACAGCUUCCGGGUCAUGUGGCCAGCAUGACUAAGCCGCUUCUGGCGAAACCAGAGCAGCGCACGGAAACGCCGUUUACCUUCCCGCUGCCUUUGUCUUAGUUAUCACAUUUUUAAUUACCAUAACAUUUUGACUUCUUAGCUCCAAUCAUAAUUGGAUCGUGCAAUAAAAAUAAUGUGUUUGGUUUUUGAUGUUGUGAUAUUGCUCCCCACUUGGAAGGCUGCUUCACUCCCAGAGAAAAUAUCUUGGAAUGAAUAAUUACUAGGUGUCUGUUCCCUAAUGAAGAUGAAUGCCACAUCAUAUCACACAGUCCUCGUGUGAUUCAGUGGCAGAGGCUAGCAUUCUUCUCUGUUUUGAUUAACACAAGGAUUAUCCAGGUAGGUAUCGACCGCAGCCCAAUUAAACAGACAUGUUGACUCAUGAGUUAAACAGCCAGCUGCCUUUGGUUUUGCUACUCAUCUGGUUAGCCUUCCAAAUAGUUAAGUCACGUGAAUCACAUCAGACAAAUCACUACAUUGAGUCUAGAACUAGAUACAAGGUGAAUCUUGGAGCCUGGGCACAGUGGCAUAGCAGGGGUUGCCAGUGCCCGGGGCCGUGUGGAUGGGGUGGGAGGGAAGGAGUAUGCAUGCUCAUUCAGCUGCGUCACCCAAGAGAUUGCAGCCACAGAGAUACAAAAGAAGAGUCAUUCUGUUGUCUGGAGAGGUCACUUCCUGGUUCGCAUGGAGAUGCAGUUUUCAACAGAGCCAUGUGACAGAAGCAUGCAGCUGUACUGAUGCAAUGCUGGGUGUAGAAAAUUUGCGUCCCCAACCAGGGAUUUUUUUUUUUUUUAAUUGCCACUGCUUUUAGUAUGUGUUUAGUAUUUUUAUUUGCUGCCAUUGCUCUGGCUGCUGGUAAGGCGAUCUGGCUAGCAAACUGGUCCCAAGCUGUUAAGGCCUUUUCAUCCUGUACUUGCUCCCAUCUGACUUGCAAAAAGUCUUAAUUUUACUCCUUCAUCACUACUCAAAUGCAGGAGAUCCCAGAAGGCAGAGCCCAACAUACAACAGAACUGUAUUCAUAUUGACGCAUUUCCUCUUACUCUUGCCUGCAUGAUGCCAGAGUUGAGUCUGGUACGAGAAACAGAAAGGUGGGCUAUUUGACCAACUAUUUAUUUAGAUGCCAAUAUGUAUACAGGUGUAGGGACAUGGGUGGCGCUGUGGGUUAAACCACAGAGCCUAGGACUUGCCGAUCAGAAGGUCGGCAGUUCAAAUCCCUGAGACGGGGUGAGCUCCAGUUGCUCGGUCCCUGCUCCUGCCAACCUAGCAAUUCGAAAGCACGUCAAAGUGCAGGUAGAUAAAUAGGUACCACUCUGGCGGGAAGGUAAACGGUGUUUUCGUGCGCUGCUCUGGUUCGCCAGAAGCAGCUUAGUCAUGCUGGCCACAUGACCCGGAAGCUAUAUGCCGGCUCCUUCAGCCAAUAAAGCGGGAUGAGCACCGCAACCCCAGAGUCGGCCACGACUGGACCUAAUGGUCAGGGGUCCCUUUACCUUUACCUAUGUAUACAGGUGUACCUUGGAAGUCGAACAGAAUCCAUUCUGGAAGUCUGUUCGACUUCCAAAAUGUUCAACUUCCAAGGCGCAGCUUCCGAUUGGCUGCAGGAGCGUCCUGUAGCCAAUCGGAAGCUGCAGAAGCUGUCCCGGACGUUCGGCUUCCAAAAAUCAUUAAAAAAAUGGAACAAUCUUUUCCAGUUUUCGAUCAUUCAGGAGCCAAAAUGUUCCGAGUUUACAGAUGUUCGGCUUCCGAAGUUCCACUGUAUUCUAAAGCUCAGCCUUUCUGGACCACGAGUCUGCUGCUCUGAAGUGGAAAGUCCAAUUAGAGCAGGGGUAGGCAACCUAAGACCCGCGGGCCGGAUGCAGCCCAAUCGCCUUCUAAAUCCGGCCUGUGGACGGUCUGGGAAUCAGCGUGUUUUUAUUUGUGCCCUUUUAUUUAAAAUGCAUCUCUGGGUUAUUUGUGGGCCCUGCCUGGUGUUUUUUACAUGAGUAGAAUGUGUGCUUUUAUUUAAAAUGCAUCUCUGGGGCAUAGGAAUUUGUUCAUUCCCCCCCCCCCCAAAAAAUAUAGUCCGGCCCCCCCACAUGGUCUGAGGGAUGGUGGACCAGCCCAUGGCUGAAAAAGGUUGCCGACCCCUGAAUUAGAGGGAAAGAAAGUACCUCUGUUUCUCAUUCCCCCUUAUCACUGCAAGCUACAGUAUAUGGCGGUCUCAGCCUUCUGAAUAUAUGAGGGCAGACCUUCAGCUCAGACAAUAAACUCUGCAGUUCAGCCUCUAAGCAGCAGAAGCAGCUGUUGCCCCAAAGGCUAAAUGUUAACUUUGCACCAUCAUCGCUGAGUGCUGUCUGUUCAUGAAAAUAUUGACAUAGGUUUGAUUUGUUUGUAUCCAAUGCGCUUCUUACAAAAAAAAAAAUUAAAAUCCACAAAUCUGCUCUCAUUUUUCUCUUUUGUCACAUCUUUCUGUUAUAUGAGCCAAUGCAGACUUGAACAUUUCAACUGUAACUUGAUGGCAAAGUUAUCGUCGCAUAUUUCUUAGGAGUGGAUGUUGGCAACAAGAAGAAAUUCCGAUGAAAGAGGAACGGCAGAUGAAAUUAAUGGACUAUGCAGAAUUGGACAAAAUGACAGGAUGGAUUCGAAACCUGCGGGACCAGAGAUUUACAGAAGAUUGGAAGAAGUAUAUGAAUUAUUUGAAGAGCAACUGUAAUCAACAAAUUACGCUAGUAGGACUACUAUAAGUUUUGUAAGGAGAACUAUACGAAGUGUUACAAAGUAGAAAAAGAUAGAGAUAUUGAUUAUGAGUUUGAAAUGUAAUAGGGAAGAUAAGAAAUGCAUACUGAGAGGUUAGAUUGGAAAAUUUUCAGACAGGAUUGAUGGAAGUCAAAAAAAUUGAAUAAGAUGUAAAAGUAUGUUUAAUUACUGUUGAAAAUGAUAUGUUAAAAAACUAAUAAAAAAAUUAUAUAUAUAAAAAAGGAGUGGAUGUUGGCUCUGUGUUUACCCCCAAAUGAGGAGGCAAGUCAGGGUGAUUUGAGGAAAGUUCUCAUUGUUCCAAGUCAGACUGCGCUAUUAACUGGGUGGUGCUGUCGGUUAAACCACAGAGCCUAGGACUUGCCGAUCAGAAGGUCGGCGGUUCGAAUCCCCGUGACGGGGUGAGCUCCCGUUGCUCGGUCCCUGCUCCUGCCAACCUAGCAGUUCAAAAGUACGUCAAAGUGCAAGUAGAUAAAUAGGUACUGCUCCGGCGGAAAGGUAAACGGUGUUUCCAUGAGCUGCUCUGGUUCACCAGAAGCGGCUUAGUCAUGCUGGCCUCAUGACCCGGAAGCUGUACGCCAGCUUCCUCGGCCAAUAAAGCGAGAUGAGCGCCACAACCCCAGAGUCGACCACGACUGGACCUAAUAGUCAGGGGUCCCUUUACCUUUUUAUAGUAAUUUAAUUCGCUUGCACCCCAAAAAGCUCACUUCACCCCCAGAGGCUCACUCCAUUGUCUCUUGAGACAGACAGAUGCCACCAAAGUAGGUUAGGCAGCAACUGACCCAAGGUCACCCGGGUUAGGUCUGCCAUAUUUUGAAGAGCAAAAAAGAGGACACAUUUGCCGACUUCCACUUUUAACGACAGAUCGCUAGGACGACUCUCAUUUUAAAUAUCCCUCCUACAGUAUAUGUAGGCUAUAGAAGCUGUGAUAUAUUGCUAGUAGCAAUGUUCUUAACUUUCAGCAGCAAAAUAAUAAUACAUCUUGCUUCCUCCCUUGCCACAUGAAAGUAUUUGGGCUCAUGUUCAUGAACGUAAGUGUGCACAGACCAAUUUAUUAAACUGUUUAACAUGUACAUAUGGACUCUCCUUAAGGUCAGGGGGAUGUUAAUUUUGCCGCCACCCCCCAAGACUCUUUCUCCAAGAUCUUGUAGCUGAGACAGCAUCCUUUUAGUUCAAGAGAAGGGAUUUAUACCGUAUGUAGGACGUGGGUGGCGCUGUGGUCUAAACCACAGAGCCUAGGACUUGCCGAUCAGAAGGUUGGCGGUUCGAAUCCCCGUGACGGGGUGAGCUCCCGUUGCUCAGUCCCUGCUCCUGCCAACCUAGCAGUUCGAAAGCACGUCAAAGUGCAAGUAGAUAAAUAGGUAACACUCUGGCGGGAAGGUAAACGGCGUUUCUGUGUGCUGCUCUGGUUCACCAGAAGUGGCUUAGUCAUGCUGGCCACAUGACCCGGAAGCUGUACACCGGCUCCCUCAGCCAAUAAAACGAGAUGAGCGCCGCAACCCCAGAGUCGGUCACGACUGGACCUAAUGGUCAGGGGUCCCUUUACCUUUACUAGCUAGUUUAAGAUGCUGCACUGUUGUGAUUCUUUGCUACAGACUAGCUUAGCUGAGUGCCUUAGAUCUGAGUCUAAUGCACUAGGAAAAAAAUCUUGGGUUACUGUAAACAAAAAACCCCAGACAUUUUGCCAAAUUUUAAAAAUCCACCCAGGCAUGAGUUUUAAUCCUGCAAAAGAGGACGUCUCCGGGGAAAAGAGGACAUAUAUCAACCAGAACUGGAGAAAAGGACUUGUCCUAGAAAAAGAAGACCCAAGCAAUCCUAUCCCUAAUCCUGACCUAACCUAGGGCUCAGCUAUAAAACUGCAAAUAAAAUGUGUUGUAAAGUGCAAUAUACAAAUGUGACACUAGAUGGCGACAGGGAGCUAUGCAAAAAUCCAAUGUGUUUUUCAAAACGUUUUUUAAAAAGGAUUUUCACAGCUUUUUAAAUAUAUAAUGUGUGUGUGUAGAUUUCACCCCAGGCAAUCUCAUGGCUGCGUGGGGAUUUGAACCCUGGUCUUCUGGGUCCUAGGCUGGCACCCUAACCCCUACACCACACUUGCCCUCUAGGUCAUGCUGAGCUACUUAAGAGUGAAAGGAGGGGCUGGAAGGCUGCAGCUCAUAUGCAGGGAUCUCCGCCUUAAGGAAAGGCCCAUUUGACCACUGUCGUUUGUUGACAUUUGGCUUCCAAGCAACAGCCAACUUGGCUGCUCAGCAUGACCCUAUAUUUGCUUACCUAAUCUUCAUCACUAUAAUCUCUCGGAUGCACACCUUUAAAGGUCCUUUAAUGACACAGACAAGUGUAUGCUUAGCUGUAGUGCAGAGAGUAAACCGCAGCCACAAAGAACCUGUUCGGAGACCUUAAGCCCUCUUAAGGUCUGUAAAACAGUUUGGCGACACAGUUAGAGCAAGAGCUUUACUAGGAAAGAGCAAACAACUAAAAGUAUUUUUCACAAGGCACACAAUAAAACCCGUAUGACUGCAUUCGGUCAACAGCAUUGAGAUCCUGGGUAUCUGCAAUUCUUUAGUGAGGCUAAGCUAAUAAAGAAGCACGUAAUUAACAAAGGCCACCCUGUCUCGAAGUCCCAGUGACUUCCUACUGAAGCAACCUUCUGGUUUUAAUAUUUUGCAUGUAUGCGUGAAAUAAUUUAUUGCUGUUCUAAAGUCAUUUCAACUGUUCGACAUUUGCUGGUUUGCUGACGGAAACAGUAAAAAUAUAAUGAUUCUUUCAUUUGAACAUUAGUUCUUAAUUUUAACAUUUCCUUAUUUAUUUAUUUUUUAAAAGGGGGAUUUGAUGUGGCAAUAAACCUUAGGAACAUUCCUAAGCAGAUAAAUAUUAUAAGCAGGUGAGAGGGUCAUCCCCCCCCCCAGGGGGGAGGGUGUUGCACAAUUUCCAAAUUCUGGGCUUAAGGUGGCAUCUCAAUAAAAUUCAUUAAUGUAGCAGAUUAGUCAUUUCAUCUCUGAUCCCACAAUUUUUGACAGGGCAUAAGUUGCUGCCUCCUUACAUCCCUGCCUGGCAGUGUUCCAAUUAUUUAAGUGAAAUGAUUAGUUAAUUGCCUUCAUAAUUGCCCUAUGCAAGGUGGUUAGAUUGGUCUCAACUAGGGCCAGGGCCUUUUCAGUACUGGCCCCGACUUGGUGGAACACUCUGUCACAAGAGACUAGGGCCCUGCGGGACUUGAUAUCUUUCCACAGGGCCUGCAAGACAGAGCUGUUCCACCUGGCCUUUGGUUUGGACUCAUUCUGACCCUUACGUUUCCCUCCCCUUCUGGUUUUGAUUUAUGGACUACUAUUAAAAUGAGGCUGCAUUUUAAAUUGUAUUUUAACCCGUAUUUUAAUAAACUGGUUGUUUUUGGUGGGGGGGUUGGUUGCCCCCCCCCAUUAUGUUUUAUUGUACAGUGGUACCUUGGGUUACAUACACUUCAGGUUACAUAUGCUUCAGGUUACAGACUCUGCUGACCCAGAAAUAGUGCUUCAGGUUAAGAACUUUGCUUCAGGAUGAGAACAGAAAUCGUGCUCCAGCGGCGCAACGGCAGCAGGAGGCCCCAUUAGCUAAAGUGGUGCUUCAGGUUAAGAACAGUUUCAGGUUAAGAACAGACCACCUGAACGAGUUAAGUACUUAACCCGAGGUACCACUGUAAUUUUAUUGGUGUUAGCCGCCCUUCACCCAGCAAUGGCCGGGGAGGUCAGGGUAUAAAUAAAAAUUUGUUGUUGUUAUUGUUGUUGAUGACCUGCUUAAAAAUAAGACCUGUGCGCGCAUAUAUAUAUAUAUAUAUGGUGACCAAGCUGCAGAUCAGAACAGGCAUCCCAUGAAAAAGGAAGCAAUUUAAGGGUAUGGAGUUUUCCUUCCAAACCCCCGGUUUCACUCCCAAAAUUUUUGUGGGUAAAAAUCUGGCACAGCCCUAUUUCAAUCUUUUAACAUCUCCUUUCUGCAUUUUCACCCGAGAAAAGUGAAGAAUACUUGCACAGCUGCCAAAUAUCCCACAAAACACAUACCUCAUAUUUCAUUCCAUUUCCAAAAGUCAAACUCAAUGGUGCAUAUAAUCCCUUUUUGUCUUGCUGUUUUCAUCGACUCGCAGAUAGCUGCUGGAGGUGGGUGCAUUUAAAUGGCAUAUAUCGGUCAUUUAUCAGAUGGAGUCAAUCGAGCCGGCACCCUUCCAAUAUACAGUGUAGCUAACAAUAUUUUGUUUGUUUGUUUGUUUGUUGUUUUAAAGGAUUUCUGGACCACCUUUCCAAUUCCAGGGCUCAAAGCAACCAAAGGUGUAUAGCAGGGAUGGGAAAAUUGUGGGGCUCUGGAAGUUGUUGGACUCCAACUCCCAUCAUCCCCGGCUGAGGAUGAUGGGAAAUGGAGUCCAACAACGUCUGCAGGGCCACAGAUUCACCCAUCCCUCGCUUACAGUAUAAGCAAAUUCUGAGGAACCAACAAGGGAUGGAAGAGGCAGAAGUAGCAAAGGAUUGACAAAGCGCAAAUUGUGUGUAUUUGGGCCUUACUUUAGUUGGGGAGUGGAUACUGAGGGGAUGAAGGCAACAGAGAUUUAGGAUCAGAGUUUCCCUUCCCCUAGAUGGACGACCUUCCCAGGUUGACCAGCUUCAUCUGCCCCUCACUUCCCUCUACAACAUGUGCAGAAACCGCCUUCUUGAACGUUGGACCCACUAUUGACCUUGUCUGUUCCAUCCACCAGAGCCUGUCUUCACAUGGAAGGGAAGUCUCUAACAGACCAAGGGUUUGAGACCCAAUAAAGACAAUAGAAAAACCAAUUAUUAUUAUUUUUAAUUUAAAAAAUAGCAAAACAGUAGAUCAAUAAGGGAGUGUUAAUAGAAAUGUUGACUGCAGCUUAAAGCAGGGUGCAUUCAUCAAGAUGUUGUUGGACUAAUAAAUGCUUUAAUAGUGGCUCAAAACAGUAUUAGGGAGUCUGUGGUCAGACUCCAACUUCCAUCAGCCCCAGACAGUAUGGCCAAUGGUCAGAGAUGAUGAGAGCUGUAGUCUAGCAAAAUCUGGGGUGGUCACGGGCAACCCAGCCCUUGUUUGAAGGGUUUUGUAACACUGAAAGAAUAAAGAGAUCUCUGGUGGCAACAAAACAACAGAAUAUAAUCCAGGUGAAUUUGGGGCAAGGGGUCCAAAGACCACCUUCGUAGUUGCCACUUCCACUUUACCUGGGAAGGUGGAAUUACCAAAGGAGGAUGGGCUGCGUAGGGAUUUAAAGAUGAGUGGCAGGUUUUUGAAUUGUACUUGGAAAUGGAUCAGGAGCCAGGGCAGCUGUUUCAAAGCUAGUGAGAUAUUUCUCCUGUCCCCAGUCCCAGUCCACAGUUUGACUGAUGUGCAGUAUUUAAAGCAACUGUCGUUUACGAACAGUCUGGAGAGGCAGCUUCACAUGGAACACAUUCCAGUAGUCCAAGAGAUAUGUUAUCAAACACGGACAGCUGUGGCCAGGCUAUCUCUGUGUAGGAGAAGAUGCAGCACAGGAUGAAGAUGGGGGAAGGUGUUUUGUGACGUGGAAGCCACACAGGACAAUGCCAGUGUGAAUAGCAUCCCCACAUGGUGAACUUGAUCCUUUCACUAGAGUGCAAACCUGUUCAGAAUGACCACUCCCCACAUUAAAUGGGGGGCGCCCUUUGUGUGGUCACGCGCAGCCCCUGGACCCUAUGUGGCUCCAUUAGCACAGGCUUGGCUUCUCCUUCCCACAGGUGGGAUGCCUGGAGGUCUCCGCCUACCUCUUCCAGUUGCCCAAUCCCGCCUGGGGAAGCGUUGCCAAGGUGACCAGGCCAGGUAGGGGGAGGGACUACCUGCCCACACAAUAGGGGGAGGAUCUUCCCUGGGAAUCGUCAGUUGGCUCCAGAGCUUCUCCCACCCUACCUACCCUCAGUUAAGACAUCUUUUGCAGGUUAACCUUUUCUCCACAGGUCCGUGGGCGCUGCUACGUCAGGGUCGCUGUUGAAGGGCCGGAAAGGAAUUCCCUUGCAUUAGCAGGUUUUGCCUUUCCUGUAGCAAAACGUCACAACUUUGGCGGUAUCAGGCGUUGGGCGGAAUCCUUUAGUCUAUCUUCCCUGAAUGGGGGCGUGCAGCAGUGACCCACACCCCCUUCCUCUUUGCAGCGGUGAUACCAGGAUUCCCUGUUAAAGGGGUUGUUUGAGGGGAGGCUUUGGGGACGGGCUCUCUCUGCUUGAACAUAUGUUCUCCAGAGCCAGCCCAAUCCCCACGCAUUCUGGAUAACCCUGAUGUUCCCCAGAUCCCUGGCGGGGGACUGGGAGGGAUAAACGCCCAAUGCCUGAGCCAAGGUCUACCCACAUCUGAAAUAUAAUAAAGUUGUGGCCAAUUUUAAUCCCAUGGCACGUUGUCUUGAGUCGUUAUUCCACAUGGAGGGGGCGCCCAGGGUUUGGGGGACUCUGCCUGUCCACACAAUGAUCACCACCUCCCAUGGCAGACUAUCAACGGGAUCUCCAUAUUUUAUUUGCAUUUAAUUUCAGUUGAGCGACCUUCAUCUCAUUCUUUAUUGAUUCCAGGCACUAAUCCCGCACCCUCACAGCCUCACCUGUAUCAGUAUCAAACUUUAUUUCGGUCAGAGACCAGCGUCGCCUGGCUCUGAUGAGAAGGAGAGGUAUUGCUGGGGGAGUCAUUGGCAUACUGAUGACACCUCAGCACAGAUCCUCAGGUGACCUCACUCAGCAGCUUCAUAUAGAUCUUAAAUAAUAUGGAGGUCAAAACACGAGCUCAAGGAAACACCACAGUAUAGCUGCCAUGAAGAAGAGCAAUAGUCUCCCAGCACCACCUUCUGGAAAUGCCCAGUUCAGACAUUGCAAACUAUCCUUCCUUCUUAUUUUUAUACAUUUUAACAUGUGUUUGCUGUUGACCCAGCAUGGAAACAAAUGUUCCUUUCCUCACAAAUCUUGCCGGAAAUAAGGCUCUGUGUGUCUGACUGCAUUUUUACCAGGCUAAUUUUCAAUUAAAUUUCAAUUUCCAUUGCAGAGUCUGAAACAGCCAAAAUAAUAAUAAUAAUAAUAAUAAUAAUAAUAAUAAAAUACUUGGGGGGGGGGAGAGAUCUGCUGCUUUUCCUGAAACCAUUUUAAGCCAUUCUUGAAACCAUUCUUUUUUUCUCUCUAUUGCCUCCUAUUGGACAUUGGAAAAUAAACACAGGGCAUUCAUCCUGAAUAUUGUAGAAGUGUUGAUUUAAAUCGUAUGGCUUGACAUUUGUCAUGGGGCGUUGGGAGUCCGCUCCAAAACUCAAUUAAGGUAAAAUGUCUGGAUUUAAAUGGAUCAAAUCUCAUUGACUUCAUUGUGGGAAUAAAUGUGAGGAAACAGGAAGGGUGAGCGAACUUUGCCUUCCUGUUUCCAAAGCAGGGUCCAGCUCUGCAGUGCAGUGAGGCAAGGUGAAGUCCAGUCAGAGUGUUCAGUAAGGUAAGGCAGGGUUCAGGCUUGAAAUGAGGCAUAGCUCACGCAAUGCUCUGGGGACACAGAGCUCUGAAGGUGCUUGUCCAGAAAACCAGCAACUUACAGGCAUUAAACCUGUGUACAUUCAGCUUUAUGCACUUGGGAUGAUGAUGAUGAUGAUGAUGAUGGAAAUGGGCCUGGUUUCCAGGAGGAAAGACUUUGGCCAUUCCACCACCCAUUGCACCUGAUGUGUUGUGGCUAUAUGCUAUUUUGGCUCUGGCGCGAUCUCCAAAACUCACCGUAUUUUUUGCUCCAUAAGACACACUUUUGUCUUCCUAAAAAGUAAGGGGAAAUGUCUGUGCAUCUUAUGGAGCGAAUGCGUGGUCCCUGGAGCCAAAUUGCCCAGGGGCAAAAAGCAGAUCAUGCUUUUUUUUUUAAAGAGGGAAGUGGGUGCUGAAACAAAGCCGCUGAUCGUUUGCCAAUCGGGGAGAGAUAUAAGGGACGCUAGAAAUAUAGGAGGCUGCCUGGGAGGGGGGAGGUAAAGACAGCAAACUUGCAAAGGGGGAAAACAGGAAGACUAAAGCAAUAAGGAGAGAAAUUAGAAGAAAAGGAGGAGCAAAAAACUGCUCCAGCUAAGGAAAAGACACUAAGGCAAACAAGAGGGAAGGGAGUGUUGAAAGGAAACAGCUGAUCGGUGGGAUCAGAUGAGAAAUAAAGGAUGCUAGCGGAGGCUGCCUGGGAGGGGGGAGGUAAAAGCCCAUGGAUCCUCAGGAUUUUUACAUUGGGUCACCCCAAAUUCACUAUCAGAUCACAUAGCAUGUCCAUGGCUAUAGCCUGCACCAAAAAAAUCACGCAUCCACUGUUUCCUGGGGCUGCAAUGGAGCAAAAAUGUGGUUACAAAGCACGGAUCCACAUGGAUCCUCAGGAUUUUUGCAUUGGGGUUUAAAUUUCCCUUAAAUUUCCCGGGUUUCAAAGGAAGUAGCUCCUCUCCCUCCCUCCCUGCCGGCCAGGGAGGAGGGAGGCUCCAACUGUGUUGCUUGGCUGCUUUGCUCACCCAAUAAGGAGUCUAAGAACGACUGGGGGGUGGAGCUUGCAUGCCUUGUGCCUAUCAAAUGUUGGAAAGGCAGACAAACAGGUGCAGAAGUUUGCCAAAGAGCUUGGGAAACGGUUUCAGCUCAAGGACCUGGGUGCAGUAAAGAUCUACCUAGGCGUCCAGAUAGCGAGAACUGAGGAUGGUAGCUUCUUGCUCAGUCAGAAAGGCAAGAUUGAGCAGUUGCUGGAGAAGUUCAGAAUGUCCGAUUGUGCAGGAGUUCGGACACCCAUGGAGACGAACUUCGUGAAAGAUAGCCAGCAAGCAGAAAGUGCUGAGUUUGAGAAUGCUGAGCUCUUUCAGUCAGCUCUAGGUAGUCUGUUGUAUCUGUCCCAAUGGAGCAGACCAGACAUUGCCUUUGCUACCAACCUGCUAAGUAGGGAAGCGUCAAAGCCCAGUGUGAGUGCUUGGCACGGUAUCAAGCGGGUACUGCGCUACCUGCAGCAUACCAAAGACUUCUGUCUUAAGCUGCCAGCUGAAGGUGAGGCGAAGCUCACAUGCUAUGCGGACAGUGACUGGGCGAGUCCGCAGGACCGCAAGUCUGUGUCUGGGUUGGUGAUAAAGUUUGGGAAGUCACUGGUUGGGUGGAAGUCCCGGAAGCAAAGUCUCAUUGCGCUGUCUUCUACUGAGGCUGAAUUCAGUGCACUGUCAGAUUUGUGCCGAGAACUAGAGUUCUAUAGAUGCUUGGUGCAAGAGAUCUAUGGGGAUUGUAGCUUGCCCAUCACGGUUUGGGAAGACAAUCAGCCUUGUUUGAAGUUGGCUGAAUCUGCGCAAUUUAAGGCGAGAACCAAGCAUCUGGACAUACGUUUCCGAAAUGUGUGUCAGAGUGUUCAGUCAGGUUUGAUACGACUGAAGUACUGUGCCAGUCACAGUAACCUGGCCGAUGGAUUUACCAAACCUUUAAGCUUCCAGCGUCAUGGGGAGUUUUGUGGUGGUUUGGAGUUGGGGGUAAGUUCUGUACUUACUGUCCCCACAGUAGCGCAGAGCGAGAGGGGGUGUGAGGAGAACCUGAGCUUACAGGGUUAAACAGCUCAGAGUGUACGCUCUGCCUACUAGUGGGAGGGGGGAAAAGCUACGUCAGUUCCGAGAGACUCAAGUCUUUGUUCUGUCUCUCUACUUUCGCUUUUGAGGAGAGAGGACGUGUUUUCGCGAUGCUGUUCGCUGUGAUAGAUAAUGGAUAGCCUGCUGUAAAUAAAACUGCUUUUAGCUGCUAAGAUCCUGUGUGGACUUUAUUUAAGCACACUGAAGAAUGCACCCCCGGCUUCACAGGAAGCAGCUCCUCUCCCUCCUCCCCUGCCGCUGGGGCCAGGGAGGAGGGUCUAACUGUGCUGUUGGCUUGCUUUGUUCCGGGCCAAGAGCUCCAAGCAAACGACUGGGGUGGAGCGAUGCCUUGCGCCCAUUUCAAAUCGGCUGCGUUGCCUGGGGACUCGCCUUUGCUCAGCACUUCCCAGCAGAGAGGUGACAGUGGUUUUCCUUGCUGCAUCCUCUUUGCCGGGUUGCUGCGCUGUGGGAACCACCACUUGAGGCUUUGUUUGGCUGCUGGCUGGGCUUUCUGCCGUUGGCUCAGAGGGGCUCAGAAGUUGAACCUCCCUGUGCUCUGAAAAUCCCUUAUUUUGGCUGCUGAUCUCUUAUUUUCGAGGCUGCUGGUCCCUUCUUUUCAAAUCUGUAAGUUGACAGCUAUGAACAGUGGGCAAAAGGAAACCACAAUGUGUGAUACACAAGAGAAGGGAUUUCUCUGAACUGUUAAAGCCUCACUGAAAAGAUAUGACCACAACAUGUUCUAUGGCUGAAAGACCCAUUGAAAAUGUUACUUUUGUGUUUGUUUGUUUGUUUGUUUGUUUGUUUGUUUGUUUGUUUGUUUUUAACUGCAUUUAUGCAUUCCAUACGUAUGUUAUUCUCAUGUCAUCUCCAUACCCAUUCAUAUAUAAAGUUUUAGAAGAGGUCUGAAUGAAGAAUGAGUACAAUGAGAAGAUAUGGAACAAUGAAGAAGACACUUCAACCAAGCAGUAAACAGCCAGGAAGAGGAAAUGGAGGGUGUGGUAGCAUGAGGCAUAGCUAAGGUGACUACAGAAGAUGUUCUUGGCAAGUGCCAUGAUAAUGUAGACAAAGGAACUACCGUAUUUUUCGCUCUAUAAGAUGCACCAGACCACAAGACGCACCUAGUUUUUGGAGGAGG